GCCGCAGUCGUCUAGGGGUAAGGACACCAGUUUGUGGUCAGGCAGUCAUCACUGGAAACCGAGGUUCGAGUCCUCGCUGCGGCA
rnacentral:tRNA from 1 species